CAAACUCCACUGGAGGACUGCAGUGUCACUGUGAGGAGCAGUUUGCUUGGUCAUGUGACCAGUGCAACAUCUACGGUGCGUGCAGCAAUGCCACCAGCCAAACCUGUGGGUGCAUAAAUGGACUUCCGUCUGAUGGAGCGCUCUGUGAACCAAUCACAAAUGUCACACCGUGUCCAACCCCCACUCCUAACGUUACAUAUGACAUUGAUCUAGUCCUGGAAUUGCGUAUCCCAGUCUCCAGUGUGCCAUCAUAUUUCAUUGAACUAUUCAGGAACACUGUGAGAAGUGUCUUGCUCCCCUACACCAUCAAUCAGUCUUUAAAAG